AUGGAUGUUGGUAACUGAAUGUUGUUAUGAGUGCUGGAUGAGAUCCUGGACGUCACGAGGGUUUUCUAGAUGGUUCGGAAACGAAGAUUCAUAUAUAGGAAUGUUGCAUUUGGCUUUCGGAAAGAUUUCGGGCAUUACCGAUAAAGUAGUCGGAGUGACAAAUGGGUUCCAGGGUUCUACCGGGAGGGGCCACCCACCCGAGAGAGGACCUAAUAGGCCCAUGGGUGGCGCACCAGCCCUUUGUGAGAUGGUGAGGCCAGCCCAAUAACCUAU
rnacentral:lncRNA from 1 species